CGGGAGGCAGCAGUGGGGAAUCUUCCGCAAUGGGCGAAAGCCUGACGGAGCGACGCCGCGUGAGCGAAGAAGGCCUUCGGGUCGUAAAGCUCGAUAGUGUGGAAGAAGGAAUGACGUACCACACGAAGU
rnacentral:rRNA from 1 species